AUUCAGCCCCGAUGGAAGCGGCAUCCCCCGAUGGCAAUCGGGGAUAUAGCGGACAGCGGGUGGGUAU
rnacentral:sRNA from 1 species